ensembl:lncRNA
GAGGCUAAAUUGAUUGUAUUGAUGUAUUAUAUUAAGUUAAAAUAAGUGUUCAUUCAGUAUUGUUGUAAUUGUCAUUAUUACAAAUAAAUUGUACAAAUUGUUUAUUUUAAAAUCAUCAGAUUAAUCGGUAUCGGCUGUUAUGGUCCUCCAAUAAUCGGUAUUGGCAUUGAAAAAUCAUAAUCAGUCGACCUCUAGUACAGACUGCAGCAUCUAACCCCCUGUAAGGUCACCACACCACAACAGAGUACAGACUGCAGCAUCUAACCCCCUGUAAGGUCACCACACCACAACAGAGUACAGACUGCAGCAUCUAACCCUCUGUAAGGUCACC